CGCGCGCACGUACGCAUGUAACCGCCAAUUGCAAUAUUUGAAAAAAGAACCCGAUCAACCACUGUCUUGCUGUUCAGAAGUCCGUCUAUAAUUCAUCAUAAACUAAAGGAACACAGGUCAGAUUCGGACAACGACUUCAAAUUCAUUCGCAGAAUACGCUAAACAAUUGGACGACGGAUACACUGGAUGAUAAUGUAGAUGGUCCAGGAUUAUCUGGGAAGGAAACUACAGGUGUUGAACACAGAAAACCGUUUACAAGAAAACAACUGGAGUUUGUGAAAGCUGCAAGAAAUUAAUCUUGCCGGGUACGCAUUCAGUUCACCUUGGUCGAGUGCAGCACAGUGGAUAAAUGUGUUGCUGAAGGAAAACACCAUUGCUAGGAUUCAAACCCACGACACUCUGUUGAAAGGUGAGAGUCAGAACCACUAGACCACGACGCACCCACAGUUAACAAGCUGUCAUACCCCCACUUGUUCUUUUGUAUUUUAUAACAAGAAGUCAUGUUUAUUCACAUUUUGACCUCCAAGAACUAAAAAGUGGAGUGAAGAUUUAUUUAAUGUAAACACAUGCAUUGCUUGAAAUCAUUUUAUGCUACGUGGGACAUAUCAUACACACGUGUACGAAAAUAUGAAAUUAUUAUGAUUUCAUUUUAUAACAUAAGCCUAACACAUAUUCCUGACGACCAUGUGCACAUUCCAGUAAUUUUUCCCAAAAUGUUGCUAAACCUUCAAAUCAAAGACUUUGUUAUCAGAUUUUAACGAAAUUGUCAACAUUAUGCUUUUCUGAUUAAUUCUCUUCCUACCUAAAUCUCCCCUUUCCUCAUGCUUUCUUUCUAUGGUCCCCUUCAUUCUCCUUAUAACUAUGUUAUAUGUAAAAUGUAACCGGUCGUCUAACCGAUUUGAUUGAAGGGUUAGGUACUCUACUCUAGGUACUCACAUUUAAAAGUUAUGUGAUUCAAACACAAAGUGUACAUCAGACAAACAAAAAACACUGAAAAUUUCAUCAAAAUUGAAUGAGGAUUAACGAAAUUAUGACGAAUUAAAGUUGUUAUUUUUUGGUAAAACUGUUCUCUGCAAGUCCUCAUGAAUAUACAAGAUCCCAAUUUAUAUAUUUUUUUGUAUUAUAUGAAUUCAAAUUUUGUCCAAGCUACAAUGUAGGUUGUAAAAAAUUACGAUUGACUACUGAUAUACUGUGUAAGACAAAAAUUAUAUUUUUUCUCACACAUAGUUGAGUUAUUCAUCUGAUUCAACACAACAAAAAUAGACAACAAAGAAAUAAGUGGGAAUCUUGUAUAUUUGAACUAUGGGAAAUAGUUAAAAAAUAGAUGUGCUACUAAGAAUUAUUUUCUAUAUGAUUUGCAAAAUAUUUUAAAAAGAUGUCGCUAUUUUUCUUUUUUUUUUUUCUAUUUUCAUGAUAUAUUCUUUAUUAUUCUAUAUAUUCUAUUUUUGAUAUAGAUAUUAUUUAUUUCUUUAUGUAUCUUUAAUGUAUUUAUGAUAAACUUUUGGCAUGUUUCUACAGAAAAUCAUUAAAAACGAUUUAUCUUUUCCGGACUCGAAAAACCUUAUCGCCCUUAAACCAACCUGCUUCUACAAACCGAAUAAUCUGAUUAACUCACUUUUCGCGUUGCAAAUACGGCGGAAAUCGGAAAAUUCAACCUAUAACCUCACGUUGCAUUGUACAUAUGUCAAAAAUUGCAUCUUCUUAGGAAAAUUUUCAAAAUUUGUGGUAGAUCUCACUCAAUGUAGCAGGUAUACGUGUUGCACGAUCAGCUGGCGAGAUCGAAAAGGCCAGAAUGUGCAAAUUUAUGUACUGCGAAAUUGCACUUCCGGGAUUAAGCACUUCCGCCAGACACGAUACGCUAUUUUGCCGUGUGUUUUUACAGAAAAGUUAAACGGAUUAACAUGGCAAUAACCACCUCUCAGAGAUGGUUAUGAGAAACCAUAUUUUGCUUGAAGCAGUUUAUCAAUAAACCGCAUCGCGUCUGUUUCUACAAAAUUCUACAGGAAAGUUUUCCGGGAUUCUGGAUACUUACGCGGGUAAUACCUUUUAACGAUUCUAUGUAGAAACACGCCGUUUGAUAUAUCUUUUAGGUGAAAAGAAAAUAGAGAAAUAUUAGGAGGUUCUAUUUUUAUGGGGGUACUAUUUUCCCCCCUUUUGGGGAUAUUUAUUUCCUCUAAGUUUGGUACUCUUUACCUUUAAUCAUUUGGCCAUGUGAAGGCUAUCACACAUUUUGAGUUUAAUCUUCGAAAUUUGGUGUUCAUCAGUUUGUUGUCCAAACUCUGUCUUACAUUUAGAUUUGUUUAUAGGAAGAUUAACAUAAUAUCUAUGUGGAGUGCAAUCAUUGACCUCUUGUAGAGUCGUGCAGUCACAUGUAUUCAUAAUGCUGGUGCUUUUAUGCCAUACAUGUACUUGUCAAUACUGGGUUCCACUCUUUUGUACUUGAACUUAUUAGUAAAAAAAAUAUUUUAUUAAUGUCAUUGAAGUAGCUGUGUGAAAGCAAUUACACACAACAGAUUUAAAAUCAAGGUUAUUGUAUUAACCUUGUAUCAGUAUCAGGUAUCAGGUAUCAAGUAUCGGGUUUGUUUGCAGAACAGUGGUUUUGCCAAGUACUCAAUCCACGUAAAAAGCCAUCAGAGAGAACAUGUUUAUUCUUGGAAAUUGUAUUAAUUUGUUGUGUUUUUCAAUUAAACUCUGUCUUGAUACAUGUUUAUUUUAGAUACCAAGAUUGACAGAGUAUAGAUGUCAACGAGGAGCAAAGUCAUAUAUAUUCAUAACUUAUGUGCUUUAAUUAUAAAGUCUAUACUUGUGAAUACUGUGUUCCAUUUAUGCUGUACUUAAACUUCUUAUAGUAAAAACAUUUGACGUUCUUGAAAUAA